AGUGGGGAAUCUUGCGCAAUGGGGGCAACCCUGACGCAGCCAUGCCGCGUGAAUGAUGAAGGCCUUAGGGUUGUAAAGUUCUUUUGCCCGUGACGAUGAUGACGGUAACGGGAGAAUAAGCUCCGGCUAACUUCGUGCCAGCAGCCGCGGUAAUACGAAGGGGGCUAGCGUUGUUCGGAAUUACUGGGCGUAAAGCGCGCGCAGGCGGUUCAGUAAGUUAGGGGUGAAAUCCCCGGGCUCAACCCGGGAAUGGCCUUUAAGACUGCUGGGCUAGAGGACGAGAGAGGUGAGUGGAAUUCCCAGUGUAGAGGUGAAAUUCGUAGAUAUUGGGAAGAACACCGGUGGCGAAGGCGGCUCACUGGCUCGUUUCUGACGCUGAGGCGCGAAAGCGUGGGGAGCAAA
rnacentral:rRNA from 1 species